GUGCCAGCAGCCGCGGUAAUUCCAGCUCCAAUGGCGUAUAUUAAAGUUGUUGCAGUUAAAAAGCUCGUAGUUGAAACUUGGGUCUGGCUGGCAGGUCCGCCUCACCGCGUGUACUUGUCCGGCCGGGCCUUCCUUCUGGAGAACCUCAUGCCCUUCACUGGGCGUGUUGGGGACCAGGACUUUUACUUUGAAAAAAUUAGAGUGUUCAAAGCAGGCCUUUGCUCGAAUACGUUAGCAUGGAAUAAUAGAAUAGGACGUGCGGUCCUAUUUUGUUGGUUUCUAGGACCGCCGUAAUGAUUAAUAGGGACAGUCGGGGGCAUCAGUAUUCAAUUGUCAGAGGUGAAAUUCUUGGAUUUAUUGAAGACUAACUACUGCGAAAGCAUUUGCCAAGGAUGUUUUCAUUAAUCAGUGAACGAAAGUUAGGGGAUCGAAGACGAUCAGAUACCGUCGUAGUCUUAACCGUAAACUAUGCCGACUAGGGAUCGGGCGAUGUUCUUUUUCUGACUCGCUCGGCACCUUACGAGAAAUCAAAGUUUUUGGGUUCUGGGGGGAGUAUGGUCGCAAGGCUGAAACUUAAAGAAAUUGACGGAAGGGCACCACCAGGCGUGAGCCUGCGGCUUAUUUGACUCACACGGGGAAACUCCACCAGGUCCAGAUGAAAUAGAUUGACAGAUUGAGAGCUCUUUUCUUGAUUUUCAGUGGUGUGCAUGACGUUCUUAGUGGUGGGAGUGGAUUUGUCUGCUAUGCGAUAACGACGAAGACUACCUGCUAUAGCAAGCUAGCUUUGCUGUCCGCCGCUCUCUUAAGGGACUAUCCGCUCCAGCCGUGAGUUUAGAGCUAAUAUACACGGGCUCUUGUAUAUGC
rnacentral:rRNA from 1 species